GAGGGGAUAGCUCAAAUGAUAAAGCACAUGCUUAGCAUGCAUGAGGUCCUGGGUUCAAUCCCCAGUACCUCUU
rfam:Camelus ferus unplaced genomic scaffold scaffold871, whole genome shotgun sequence.